rnacentral:rRNA from 1 species
UACGUAGGGAGCAAGCGUUGUCCGGAAUCAUUGGGCGUAAAGCGCGCGUAGGCGGCCCUGUAAGUCCGUUGUGAAAGUCAAAGGCUCAACCUUUGAAAGCCGAUGGAUACUGCAGGGCUAGAGUCCGGAAGAGGCGAGUGGAAUUCCUGGUGUAGCGGUGGAAUGCGCAGAUAUCAGGAGGAACACCAGUGGCGAAGGCGGGUCUCUGGGCAGUAACUGACGCUGAGGAGCGAAAGCGUGGGGAGCGAACAGG